GGGGGUGUUUCGGUUUCGACUGGCGGAAGAUCAGGCCAGUGGCUGCAAGCGGAGCGCCAACUCCCUAAACUAGCAAAAAUUUUAACUGCCAAAAAAGAAGACGAAGUCUUUUUCGAAGCAGAAUACGCUCUCGCUGCGUAACAGCACGAUUGUGUACAGGUCCGACUGCUGCCGCUCUUAAGCAACGGUAACCUGUAAAAGUAGGAGCUUACUCCCAUCAGUGCCUACGGGUUGGGGGGAAAAUUAAGUAGGAUACGAAGGAAGGACGUUUUGCUGGUGUACCUGCCUACCUUCGGAAACAAAGAACACCAACUAAGCUUGUAGACGUCAUUGGGUGGCACGUUAGGACGGGGGUUCGAAUCCCCCCACCUCCAAAA
rnacentral:tmRNA from 1 species